rnacentral:lncRNA from 10 species
AUGAUUCAAAAUGAGUUAAAUAUACUAAAAUCUCAAAUCUGAAGAGCCACUUUGAAUUAGAAAUCUGAAAACUGAAAGCAAAAAUAGAAAAAGCAGAAAAAAAUGAACAGAGUUGAUUGAACUUAGCAAAGAAAUGAUAAAAAGAAGACAAAAUCAUCUCAGAGUGAAGAAGACCGAAAUGGAAGAUAAUAAAGUGAAUUGACGGAACGCAAGAAAAUAAUCUGCAAAUGAAUAUAAGGUAACAAACAUCACAAAGCACCAGCUCCUUUAAUUGAGAAAAGAAGAAAGCACGAUGUACAAAAUAAUGACAAGGGGGACUAACCACUGAAACGGUAUGCAUCUGAGGAGAUGGCGAAGACAUUUUUAACAUCUUUAUCAGGUAG